UACGGGGGGGGCAAGCGUUGUUCGGAAUUACUGGGCGUAAAGGGCUCGUAGGCGGCCAACUAAGUCAGACGUGAAAUCCCUCGGCUUAACCGGGGAACUGCGUCUGAUACUGGAUGGCUUGAAUCCGGGAGAGGGAUGCGGAAUUCCAGGUGUAGCGGUGAAAUGCGUAGAGAUCCGGAGGAACACCAGAGGCGAAGGCGGCCUGCUGGGCUGCACCUGACGCUGAGCCGCGAAAGCCAGGGGAGCGAACGGG
rnacentral:rRNA from 1 species